rnacentral:rRNA from 1 species
GUGGGGAAUAUUGGACAAUGGGCGAAAGCCUGAUCCAGCCAUGCCGCGUGUGUGAGGAAGGUCUUCGGAUUGUAAAGCACUUUAAGUUGGGAGGAAGGGCAGUAAGUUAAUACCUUGCUGUUUUGACGUUACCGACAGAAUAAGCACCGGCUAACUUCGUGCCAGCAGCCGCGGUAAUACGAAGGGUGCAAGCGUUAAUCGGAAUUACUGGGCGUAAAGCGCGCGUAGGCUGGUUUGUAAGUCAGAAGUGAAAGCCCAGGGCUUAACCCUGGAAUUGGUUUUGAAACUGCAAGACUCGAAUUCGGGAGAGGAUAGCGGAAUUGUCAGUGUAGCAGUGAAAUGCGUAGAUAUUGACAGGAACACCAGUGGCGCAAGCGGCUAUCUGGACCGAUAUUGACGCUGAGGCACGAAAGCGUGGGGAGCAAACAGGAUUAGAAACCCCUGUAGUCC